rnacentral:rRNA from 1 species
CAUGUAGACGGAUUAAUAAGUUUGAAGUGAAAUCCUAUAGCUUAACUAUAGAACUGCUUUGAAAACUGUUAAUCUAGAAUGUGGGAGAGGUAGAUGGAAUUUCUGGUGUAGGGGUAAAAUCCGUAGAGAUCAGAAGGAAUACCGAUUGCGAAGGCGAUCUACUGGAACAUUAUUGACGCUGAGAUGCGAAAGCGUGGGGAGCAAACA